ensembl:lncRNA
AUGUCAAACCUCGAUGACCGUUGCCAGCUGUUGGAUUCCUUCCUCGCCACAGGUACCGUCUUGGUGGAAAACAUGCAGAUAAACGGCCGUGCGCAGGAUCCAGGUCGAACCAUUUCGCUGACUCUGCUGGACAACUACGACUAUUGGGUGAUUUUGGAACCGGCCCAGCAGCGGCUGUAUCUCAACAGCACAGGACGCGUUCUGGACAGAGACCCCCCAAACUACAUCAUGACCAUAGUGGUGCAAGUCCAGUGCACCAACGAGCUGGUUGGUACUGUUAUUUUCCACGAGGUGCGGAUCGUCGUGAGGGACAGGAACGACAACAUCCCCCGCUUUCAGCAGCCGCGUUACUAUGUUGCCGUCAAUGAGCUCACGCCAGUCGGAACAACGAUUUUCACUGGAUUCUCAGGGAAUAAUGGCGCCACCGAUAUCGACGAUGGACCUAAUGGACACAUAGAAUACAGCGUCCUUUACAACCCCAAUGACCCGGAGUCCAACAAGACAGUAAGCGUUGGAAACACGCUUUCAGGGCACAUUAUCCUGGCAGAGAGGCUAAACUACGAGGAGAGGACACGUUACCUGGUUGUUGUCCAAGCUAAUGACCGAGCACCUUACCCACCCAACAGGCGAACGGCUACAACCACCCUGACCGUGGACGUUCUGGAUGGAGACGACCUGGGCCCCAUGUUCCUGCCGUGUGUGUUAGUGAACAACACGCGUGACUGCAACCCGCUCUCCUACCGCGCUGCUAUCCCUGAAUUCACUGAACCGAGCAAAUUGAACCCACUGAACGUGACCCCCCCGAUUCGUGCCGUGGACAUGGACAGGAACAUCCAGCCUCCAUCCAACAGACCCGGAAUUCUGUACUACAUCCUGGUUGGUAGGUUUCUGACAUUUAAAUCCACAUUUGCAGAGUAUUUCUCCCUGAACAAAACCACAGCGGAGCUGCGCGUUCUGCAACCAAUCAACAGAGACUUAUAUCAGAGGUUCACCCUCAUCAUCAAGGCUGAGCAGGACAACGGACACCCCCUCCCGGCCUACGCCGACCUCAUCAUCGAGAUCCUGGAUGAGAACAACCAGGCGCCGUACUUCCAGCUCGCCACCUAUCAGGGAUACGUGAGUGAGUCUUCGCCGGUGGGUACAACCAUCUCAGGCAGCUCAAACCUGACGACGCCCCUGGAAAUCAUCGCACUGGACAAUGACAUCGAGGAGACAAAAGACCCGUUGGUGAAGAUUUCCCUCGACAACUACGCCACGAUAUUUGGUGUGACUCCGACUGGCAUAGUGCGCUACCUGAGACUGGUUACACCUGUGGACCGGGAGAAGCAGAUGGCUUACACGUUCACGAUGGUGGCAUCGGAUGGUGUCCAGCAGAGCACCCCAGUGACUGUCAACAUCCUGGUCAUCGACGCCAAUGACAACACGCCCACAUUCGCCAAGGCCUCCUACAAUGUUGAAGUCUUCACCGACAUGCAGCCGGGGGAAACCGUUCUCCAGUUAACUGCAGCGGAUGCUGAUGAAGGAUUGAACGGCCUGGUGACGUAUGAGAUAUUGGCCGGGGCCCAGGGACACUUCAUCAUUAAUAAUCGCACAGGUCGCCUCACCGUGGCGCCAGGCGUGGCUUUAACUGUGGGACAGUCUUAUGCACUGACUGUCAAGGCCUCAGACGGGGCUCCAGAAACACAGCGAAGGAGCUCCAUCACCACCGUCUACAUUGAGGUUUUGCCACCCAAUAACCAGAGCCCGCCGCGCUUCCCCCUCCUCACCUACAGCCUGGAGGUCAGCGAGGCCAUGAGGAUCGGAGCGAUCCUGCUCAAUCUGCAGGCCACAGACAGAGAAAAUGACCCCAUCACUUACCUCCCGUGUUUCCUCCCCACCUCAGGCCCUCUGGACAGAGAGAGCACAGAUCAGUACCGCCUGAUCGUCACAGCCUCCGAUGGGAACCCUGGAGGGACUUCCACCACCACGGUCGACAUUGUCGUCACAGAUGUCAACGACAACGAUCCCAAAUUUGACUUCGCCAUACCUGUUAACUUCACCGUCCGAGAAGAAGAGGCCGACCUUUUUGUGGGCCUUGUGAGGGCUACAGAUCCAGAUGCGGGGGCUAACGGCCAGGUGGGCUACCGGAUCAUAAAUCACCCCGACUUGUUUGUGAUCAGUGCCAAUGGCAGCAUCUACACGAAGGUGCCUCUGGACCGGGAGCUCCGGAGCCAGUAUGAUCUUGUUGUGGAGGCGUCGGACGGGGCUGUGGAUCCACGGCGGACCACCUUGACCCUCUCCAUCCAGGUCACAGAUAUUGAUGACAGCAGUCCGGUUUUCUCCCAGCAAAAUUACGUGGUGAAUGUUCCAGAAAACACGCCUGUGGGGACCGUCGUAUUGAAGCUAAGCGCAACAGACUCGGACCUCUUCUCCAAUGUCACCUACCGGAUCAGGACUGAGGCAGCCCGACAGCUGUUUUCUCUGAACCCUAUUACAGGGGAGCUGGCUGUGCUGCAGACGCUGGAUUUUGAGGACCUGGCAGCUUUGGGCAUUGGGACCUCUUAUGCUUUCCAGGUAGAGGCUAUAGACCAAGGAGGGAUCAUGCCCCCGGGGCAGGCAACUGUCACAGUCCGCAUCACGGACAUGAAUGACUUCUCACCCGUGUUUAGCCAAGACCUGUACAAAGGCAUGGUGGCACCCAAUGCAGAGAAAGGAACGGUGAUAACAACGGUGUUAGCGGAGGAUCGGGACCCUCCGGAUACCCCAGCCAGCUUUGUCCGCUACCGAGUUGACCUGGACAGGUCUCCCUACAGCGGCAGCAUCUUUGACGUGGAGGAGGAAACGGGAAGAAUCGUCACUAAGGUCAACCUCAACGAAGAACCCAGCGUCACCUUUAAGUUGUUUAUCAUCGCCUUUGACGACGGCGAACCGGUGAAGACCAACAGCACUCUGGUGGAGAUCACUGUCCUCCAGCCCUCUCGGAUCCCCAUCUUCACCCAGGAGGAGUACAGGUUUCCUCCAGUAAGCGAGCUGGCUCCAUUCGGCACCCCGGUGGGGACGGUUCUGGCUGCUGCUGUCAAUCAAAGCAUCUUCUACUCCAUCGUAGGAGGCAAUGAUUUAGGUCAUUUUCAGAUCAACAACAAGACAGGCGUCAUCUCCACAGCCAAACCUCUGGACUACGAAAAUGUGACAAGCUACGUCCUGCGGGUGCAGGCGGACUCCAUGGAGGUCGUCAUGUCCAACCUGCGCGUUCCCUCUAAAACUAACACAGCCAAGGUGUUCAUCGAAGUGCAGGAUGAGAAUGACCACCCACCCGUCUUCUCCAGGAAGCUCUACAUCGGCGGCGUGACAGAGGACACCAAGAUCUUCAGCUCCGUGCUCAAGAUAGUGGCCACUGACAAGGACACCGGGAAUUACAGCGAGAUGGCGUACCGCCUGAUUAUUCCGCCCACCCAAGAGGGCCAGGACAGCUUCGUCAUCGAGACCUACACAGGCAUCAUCAAGUCGGCCAUCAUGUUUCGGAACAUGCGCAGGUCCUACUUCAAGUUUCAAGUCAUUGCCACCGACGACUACGGAGCAGGGCUCAGCAGCAGUGCUGAAGUGGUGGUUUCUGUGGUCAACGCCUUGGACAUGCAAGUUGUUGUGUCCACCGUGCCGCCCACUUUAGUGGAGGAGAAGAAGGACGAGCUCAUUAGUAUUUUGGAGCGCCACGUCCAGGACCAGAUUCCGGGUGCCAAGGUGAUAGUAGAGUCCAUCGGCCCCCGUCGUCAUGGCGAUGGCUUUGAGCUAGAGGACUACACUAAAUCCGACCUGAUGGUCUACGCCAUUGACCCCCUCACAAACAGGGCCAUCUCUCCCAAGGAGCUCUUCAAAUUCCUCGAUGGCAACGUCCUGGAAAUCAAUAAGGAGUUCCAGCCGUAUCUGGGGGAAGGCGGCCGCAUCCUGGAGAUCCGCUCCCCCGACAUCGUGGCCAGCGUGAAGAAGGCCGCCCAGGCCGUGGGCUACACGGAGGGGGCGCUCCUGGCCCUGGCCAUCAUCAUCAUCCUCUGCUGCAUCCCCGCCAUCCUCAUCGUCAUGGUCACCUACAAACAGCGACAGGCAGAGUGUGCCAAAACUGCCCGGAUUCAGAUGGCUUUACCACCAGGAGGGAAAGCACCUGCAGCCGCUGCCCCCACCGCAAACCUGUAUGAGGAGCUGGGCGACGGUAGCAUCCGUGGUAAACUGCACCCACCUCAACAGCAACUGCUGAGGCCAUCUCUGCUGAGACCUGAGGAAUUCUCCAUGGAGUCAGGUAUCGACCCAGGCCAGGAUUACUAUGCGCAAGACUACUAUAAUUACGAUCAAGGAUAUGACCUCCCUCAAUAUGGCAGUCGAAGGAGGCUAAUUACACCUAUGUAUGAUGAAUAUGGAGAGGUAAUCAUGGAGGAUGAUGGGUAUUAUUACAGCCCUCAUGGCCCUGAGCUUGGAAAGAAACGAAUUAUGCUGGUUUUAGAUCGAGAAAAGGAGAAUAGCACAGCAGGAGAGGAGAGCAAUACAGAAAUCCAGCGGGACAGACUCCCCAACAGCCACAGCAAUAUUAACGGGAACAUCUACCUCGCACAGAAUGGCACUAUAAUCCGGACUCGGCGGCUGCCCCAACCAAACAAUCUGAAGGUGGGCUCUCCGUGCCGGCUUGGUAAGCAGUUUAAAAAACUAGAGAAGCUGGGUGUGACGCUUGAAGAACCUGCUCCCAUCAGUAGCAUUGAGAGCCCAGGGAAGGACACAGAAAACGGAGUAGGCGUGUGUGUUCCUGCUAAUAUGGACAUCACGAACAAGCAGUCCUCCUGCGGCUCCAUGGGAAGGACCAUCACAAACCUGACAAGUUUCGGCUCCAAAAAUAACAUUACCAAGGUCUCGAUUGACAGCAACAGCAGCCGGAGCGUGAAUGAGGAGCAAGAGACUCAUGUUGACAACCACAAAGACGGGCACACCGAGAGCCACACUGAGCCCCCAGCGACGGACGGGGAGGAGCUGUGGAUGGGACCCUGGAACAGCCUGCAUAUACCAAUGACAAAACUGUGACCGGGCCAUGGGUGACAUGGACUCUCCUCGCAUUCUAUCGUAACUGUGUUUGGAUUCAUUUCAAAUCAGAUUGUGUGCCUCAAGAAGAAUAAGACCUUCACAGAGAACUUUGUCCAGCUGAAAUCUAUUUAACCAUUAUUUUUCGUCUUAUCUUUAGUGUUGCAGCGUGAGAGCGGCGAGUGCCUCAAGGACAAAGAUUUUUAUUUGAUGCACAUUUGACUGAAUUUUUCUUAUCAUUUAAAACAAGAGGGUUCUUUCGAAGGUUUUCAUAGUUUGCUUUCUCUUCACUGCCUUGUCAUCCUUUACAUCCUGACAGGAUCACAAAGAGAUUUACAACUGUCUCCUUAUCACCCUAAAGAGAAUCUGCAUUUAACAAAGAAUUUGUCACGAUUGUCUCUGAAGAAGGAAAAGAUGCUUAUUUUGCUAUUGACUUGCAGAGAGAUAAAGAUUGUCACAGAUAAUUUCUUGUUUUGAAAAUUUCUGAAGAAUAUCUAAUAUUUUUUUGUCUAUUUUGUAUCUAACGCAGAUGGAAGAAUUAGAUAGGUCAAUGGUGUCAUCGCUGUAUUUCAACAGUGAGAUAUGACUGUAUGAUCAUAGUGUUUUUAUAUGCACAUUUGUAACCUGAGAAUGUGGUAUUUUAUGCCCCUUUACAUCGUGCAGACCCACUACGUCAAUGAUAAUUUAAUGAACGAUACAUCAGGAACCCACAAAGGACUACCAAAAGAAAUGUGCUAGAUUCAACAAUAAAGAUCUAACUUAUUUUAACGUGCA